rnacentral:lncRNA from 1 species
AUUGUUAUCAUUAUGUUUGUCUGGAAAUCAGCAGAAUGGGGGUGUUGAUUUCCAGCGGGUGGGUUUUCCUUUGUCCCUUUUUUUUUUUUUUUUUUUUGUUCUAACCCAGAUUUUCAUGUUUAACAGGCCCACAGCUGAUCCAUCCCCCAGUACACAAUUGAGACAGAGGAGGUUAAAGCACUCUGAACGCAUGGGACCAUAUUGCAGCGCCUCCCAGCACUCCUCCAUGUUCUCCUCCAUCUGCCUUCUCUCCAUUGAUCAGCCUUCCAGGGCAUCAGUCUGUUUAACAUCUGCUACAAGUUCCAGCAGCUCAGAUGCGCAGAGGCUGUAAUGAAGAGCUCUUGAACUCCCAGUCAGAGAAGCUGUGACAGGAGUUCAGGAGGAUGCCUCUUUGGCUCUGCUGGAAGUACGAGACACACACACACACACACACACACACAUACACGGUACACACUCAGGCACACAUGCACCCAGAGACAGCAAAAUGAAGCUGUCACUCAUACAUUGUUUCACAAAUCACUAGCUUUUCAUUUAGAGCGUUCAAUGUCCAAUCUUCCUACUGAUAUUGGAAAAAUAUCAAAAUCUACCUCUGCGCUUCAGUUCUUUUAUUUUCUGUUUUUCACUUAAUAUUAUUUAUUUUUGGGCGCAGCUGUGACAUAAAAUUAGAGGUUACAAACUUUAUAUGAGAAACGUCUUCAUAGAAGCAUAACUCAAGUUUGUGAACUAUAAAAGCAGCCGUAUUUCCAGCCUUCCGAGCUUUAUUAUCAAGCCUGUGAUACUGCGGUACAUCUUUGGGCAGGUACAUUUCAUUUAGAGUUUUUGCCUUCAGGCCCUAAAUUGAAAUGGAAGACCAAAUGGCACAAAUGGCAAGUGCACCAUUCCUAGCUCUCUGCAGCCUCCCAACACAAACUGGUCAAGCAGAAAUGAGACCUGCAUCAAUUUUAAUUUGUAUUUAUCCUGCUGAUGACCCGCUCCUUUCACUCUGCUGUUGGAGGCACAAAUUACACCCAUCAUAACUCUGAUUCUAACGGCCCACGGUGUGCUAUCAGGAAAUUAACAUGGUUAUAUACCACCGGCGGGUUCAAGGUGUCACAACACAAUUAUACAAUCAUGCAACCUGACGAGCUCUGACUGGUCGCCGGUGUAUGACAAGUAAGCUGGAGGGCUACACUGUCUGUCACAUCCAGGCGGGUAAGAUAAGUUCACUGAAGAGUAGACUGUGCCUCAGUGUCUGCUUCUCUCUAUCUAAAUCAGUUAAAUAUCACAUGGCUGCUGCAGUCUCGGGUGAUUUUUAUUUUUUUUUGCUGGGGGGGGAUAAAACCCACAUCUGAACUUAUCUUUGACUUGUCAGGUUUUUAUUCAGCACAGCAAAUUGAGCUGGCAGAAUUUGUAAAAACACAAAUCAGAGCGCUAUAACAUGGGUUGCCUGUAUAUCAUUAAUAGAAUUAAGUCAUCAGUGAGAGAAGUUUAAUGUAAAACCUUAUACAUGCUGCAGUGCUGUGCAGCAGCUGACUGUGACUUUCAAUCAACCCUAAUCCUUGUAUCUCAUAAAACUUAGACCAAAAAAAUGAAGGGAAGCUCCCCUGCCUGGAUCCCCAGUGUGCUCUCAGUGUCAAGCCAUUAGGCUGUGUGAAAUGAGGUGCCACUCAUGAGUUAUAAUGCUGCACAUCUAUAGAUGCAAUGGUAAAAUAUAGCCCUUCAAUGCUCAGUUCUCUGCUGGAGUUGGGAAAAUAAUUCUGCUCUGAUAGUGGUCCAUCCCGCAAUAUCCCAAUUCAAAGUCACAAAGAUAUGAAGAGGGCUGUUGGAUAAAUUCAAAAUAAUCCACUUCAGGAUAGCUGUGGGAUUAAUGGAAAAAAAAAUGUGUGUGUUUGCUUGUGUGUGCACGAGCAAAUGUGCGUCUAUGUGAGAAUGACGACUGAUGAAUAAAAUAUAUCAGAAACCAGUGUAGUGCCAAAAACUUUUACAUACUGUAGGAUGAUAUUACUAAUAAGAUUAUCGACCUUGCCGAUGAAAAGAAAUGAGACACAGAGGAAUAAGGAAAACGACAGCAAAGUAUUCCUAAAGAGUCAUGAGAAGCGGUGGAUAUAAGCUUUCAGGAAAUCUAUUUGCGGGGUAAAGCAUGUUCAUUCUAUCCAAUUUUAAAGCACGUCAAUAGAAGACGCACGUUUUUUAACCAGUUGUUACAGAACUACAAUCAAUGAAAGUUAUACUGAGUCCUGCUAUACUUAGAGGCACACAACAAAAGCAGGCUAGCAGCAGCCUGCUCUACUGAAAUAUUUACCCAGAGGUACUGUAGAUGUAACAAUGAUAGGAAAUAAAGCUAAUAAGUGUCACUUUGAUGUGACAACAAAUUAUACAUGGUUCUAUCAGAUCUCAUUUCCAUUCCACAACACAGAGACAGAGAAUACCCUGAAGCAUGGCUGUUAAUGGGAGCCUCUAUCAGCCAUCGUGGAAAGCCUGCCUCAUUACUCACUCCAACACAACUGUGCCCAGGGUGGUCGAUUUCCCCAACGGACACUGGUUCACAGACCAGAGACGCACUGUGCUGCAUAUGACUUGUUUUUCAAUGCGCGGGGCACAGAUGCCGUCAUGCUGCAAGUGUGCGAAAUCGUUUUUAUCAGGAAAUUGAUUUAAUCAAAACAUUUUUUUUUUAAUUAAAGAGAAGCAAC